rnacentral:lncRNA from 1 species
CCCGCCUAGCCUGGACCUCGCAGUCUGGUAAGAGUGCUCUCACCAGUGCCCACCAUUUUCCUGUUUCUCAUGCUCCCUCAGCAUGUUUGCUUGGUCCUUUCCAGCAGGUGAUUUUUAACAUGCGAGUGCCUGAAAAUCAGAGACAUGGGCUUCCCUAGCUUCUUUUACAUCAAGCUCCAAAUCUAUAUUCACAACUUUGAUAUCCAGGGUGAUAUUCAAAAUAUUCAGCAAUUAGGGAGGAAUGGGCACUGAGUGAUCAGAACUAGAAUGCAUGUUUUCCGAGGCCUUCUGCUGGGAAGGACGUGGGCUGGAAUGGCAGAUACGAUGUGGAGAGAGCUCGGCGUGUGAACCCUCAGAGCCACAUACACCACAACCGUUGUGACAGCACUGCAGUAUUUUAAACACAGGCAUGACUGAACCACUGGGCACUGGAUGAGUGUCAGCUUCGGGGAAUUUUUUCUCCCGUUACAGAGAAAGACCCUCCUCCAAACACACCUGCGCACACCUCUGUGGAAGGCUCACUCUUGCUCUGGGCUUUUGUUAAGUGCUCCCUCCCUCAUCCUCUGGGCCCAAAAAUCUACCCACCUACCUGUCUGUAUACCACUCAUGAUUUUCCUUGUCCUAAAAGUAAUAUUAACUUCAGCACUGUCUUUUUAUUUUCAGCCUCCUCAGAAGAGUUAGUCAGAUGAGUUGAUCUUUCAAAGGCAAGGUUAAGACUUUACGUUUAAUUUCAACUCACAACAGCGUGGCCUCCGCUCGUCCUUCUCUGAAGAAACAGCUCCAGCAUGGCCACCUGUGCACCCCCAACUAUUAACUCAAGGCUUCCAUUUUCAGAGCAUUCUGUCUGACACGUUGGGAAUGUUUAACCCUGCGAAUCCUCUUCUUUCCUUGGUACUUUCUCUUUUUUGGUUUCUGUGACACACUUUCUCAGACUUCGUUUUCCUCAGAACAUCACUUUCUUGUCUCCUCGUAUGGCAAUCCUUUCUUCAUCUAUCCUUUAAAGGUGGGUGUUCCUGAAAGGUGUGCUCUCAGCCUACCCUGUGUGUCCUUCACUCACUUCUGGGCUUAUGGUGUCCAAGGCUGCAGCUCCGGGCACGCUCCCAGCCCCGACGCCAGCACACACAACAACGUCCCUGCUUCAGGAGCACACUCACGCCCCACCACAGUUCCUUUGCUCCUCUCCCCUCCUUCUCAAAUGUCGAUUAACUUAGCCACUUCACCUGCCUUCCAGCCCCACCACUUUAAUUCAGGCCCUCUUACACCUUCUGAUACUUCAGCUCCUUUCUGCAUUAAUACCUCAUCUCUCCUGCCAUUGUUUUCAUUUCUAAAACUCAUAAUUAUGCACUGUGGGCAAACCUUUCAAACCUUUCCAUUACCCGCACACACACACAAAACCCUUCAAACGUAACAUUCAAAAGACUAGCUUUCAACUUACUUUUCAAACUUCCCUGACCAAUAUUCUAGCUAACCUUCCUUUCUUCCUGUUCCCCACAUACAUACAUCUGUGUGUUAUGUGCCGAAUUGUUCCCUCACAAUUUAUAUGUUGAAACCUUAACGUUUGUUUGGAGAUGGGGUCUUUUAAUAAGGUAAAUAAGGUUAAAUGAGAUCGUAAGUAUGGGGCUCUUGUCUCACAGAACUAGCUUUCUUACGAGAAGAGGCAGAGACCCUAGCAAUGCUCACACAGAAAGGAAAGGCCACCUGGGGACAGAGAAAGAAGGCACCUGUCUACAAGCUGAGAAGAGAGGCCUCAGGAGACACCAGCCCUGCCAGCACCUUGAUUUUGGAUUCCAGCCUUCAGAACGAUCACUGAUUUCAAAGAGUUACAGUGAAAGCAGGUGCUUCACAUGCAUGAGGACGUGCUGCAAAGAUGAUUGGACAGGACAUCAG